GACGAAGGUGGCAAGCGUUGUUCGGUGUUACUGGGCUUAAAGAGUGUGUAGGCGGAAGUGUAAGCGCCCUGUGAAAUCCCCCGGCUUAACCGGGGGAAUCGCUUGGCGUACUGCUCUUCUUGAGGCAAGUAGGGGUGCACGGAACUCUUGGUGGAGCGGUGGAAUGCGUAGAUAUCAAGAGGAACGCCGGAGGUGAAAACGGUGCACUGGGCUUGCCCUGACGCUGAGACACGAAAGCGUGGGGAGCGAACGGGAUUAGAUACCCCAGUA
rnacentral:rRNA from 1 species